rnacentral:rRNA from 1 species
GACGAACGCUGGCGGCGUGCUUAACACAUGCAAGUCGAGCGGUAAGGCCCUUUCGGGGGUACACGAGCGGCGAACGGGUGAGUAACACGUGGGUGACCUGCCCUCAGCUCUGGGAUAAGCCUGGGAAACGGGGUCUAAUACUGGAUAUGACUCCAUGACGCAUGUUGUGGGGUGGAAAGCCUUGUGCGGCUGAGGAUGGGCCCGCGGCCUAUCAGCUUGUUGGUGGGGUGANGGCCUACCAAGGCGACGACGGGUAGCCGGCCUGAGAGGGCGACCGGCCACACUGGGACUGAGACACGGCCCAGACUCCUACGGGAGGCAGCAGUGGGGAAUCUUGCGCAAUGGGCGAAAGCCUGACGCAGCGACGCCGCGUGAGGGAUGACGGCCUCGGUU